GAGCUUUCCUCCCAAGCCGGGGCUGGCAGCGGGCCGUGUGUGCCCAGGCACGAGCUUCUCUCCCGGUCACUGGCUCCAGGAGCGGCGGUGGAGGGAGCCACCCGCUCCCGGGGUUUGCCUAAAGAACCGUGUUCCUUUUGCUUCCCUGGCUCUGCCGCUCCCGAGCACAGGUAGCGCUAGGAGCUUCCGGUCGAGCCGCAGGGCGAUAGGCGCUGUUUCAGGAUAAGCAGCACCGCGCGGAACUUCUCCCGGAACAGAUGCUCUCUGAGGAACGCUGGGGAGCUGCCGCUGGUUGUGGGUGCGACAGCCCGUAGUCAAUUCCCAGCGUGAGGAAAGCCGGGUCCUGGGGCGUGUUGUGGUUCCAGACUCCUGGUUUGAGAGGGCUCUGCCGUACCCCAGAACGCGGUUUUGGUUGUGUUUUCUCUGUCCAAGACCACCAUCCUGCUCAAGCUCGAGCAUCUGCCAUCAGCCCAGAAGGUGUCUCAGACCAUCCCUGGGGGAAGUGGGAGCUGCUCCUAACUUCUGGUGUAAAGAGCCCUACUUAGGAGAAGAGUUUUAAGAAAACCCCAUUUCUUGGCUACUGGGCAAUGCAGGGGUGCUGCCUGCAGGGCUGCUGAGGAAGGUGGAGUGAGGCCAGUCUCCAGUGUGCGCUGUGUCCAUGGAUUGGCUUUGUCCCCCUGUGGCUGAUGGAGAUGCCCGCAUGGCGCUGUGAUUUUGAGUGAGUCCAUCUUGCUGAAGCAUUCCUUGUUGGCUGAUGGCGUAGAAACGCUCUGCUCCCCAGCCUCACUUAAGGAUUGCUUGGUGCCCACUUGGGUAGGAAUCAUCAGCUCCCUGUGCCAGGUGUUUAGGCAGGGAAAACCGGGGGCAGUGGAAAAGUAGGACUGUGGCCAGCUGGGGGUUCCAGUAGAUUCCUGGAGGCACAAAAGAGUGCACAGCAAGCUGAACUCCAGAGGAAGUCUGGGCUUUCUGCCCACUGAGAAGGAUAAGGCUUGGAAAAGGUGUUCCCAAAGAAGGAGAGCACAGGGCAGGCGGGAUGAAUCGCAGGGGAGUAGAAGGAUUGCAGAAAUUAGAUGUGACUGCUCUGCAUCUUUACUUUGUUCAGGGGUUCACUGCAUCCAGAACUCCUGUAGUUCCUUCAGGACUGGAAGGACUCGGGGCUCUGCUUUUGGGGUUACAGGAAAUGUAGCUGGAAACAAAGAAAACAAGUGGACAGAACCCUGUUUUAGUGACUGCUGUGAUACUCCAGCUUGUUAGGCCAAUGCACUGAUUUCAGCUGUGUCUGUCUUCAGGUGGGGCACAAGCUGUUGGGCUUUACAGCACUAAAAGUAAAUGUUCAGUUCCAGUUACACUUUUUAAUGCAAAAUGCUAAUUUCAUUCUUGAUGGGGAGAGUAAAAUUCCCAAAGCUUUUAGUUUAAGUAGUGAUGCGAGAGGGAUUUUCUCCCUGAAGGAAAGGAGCUAGUUUUAGUCUUGAGUGAGAUGAUUGGUUCCUUUCUGUGUAAUUUCCUGUCUUUGCCAAUUGGCGAUUUCUGCAUAUCUAAUUACCAUUAAACACUGCUGAACCACAAAUCCUGUGUGUAAAUAAUGGGCAUGGUUCAUGAGAAGGCACGAUGGGGCUGGUGGUCUGAUGUUUGGACUGGAGGAGUUUAGAGGUCUUCUCAGCCUCGGUAGUUGGACGGUAAUGGUUAGGAGGACUGUGCUGGGAGCUGGCUGGGAACACCUGGAGUGCCGGUUCUUAGCUGUUCCUUGGCAGGAAAGACGAGGGUGAUCAGGAGCAUCCAAGUGAGGGAAGGGCAGUACCUGGAAGAGCCUGAGCUGUUGCUGGGUCUGCUUUAACUGCUGUACCUCAAGGGGUGGUUCCCUUCUCCAAGAGUAAUG